CUGUGUGUGGUGCACGCACUGUACCGCUCUCAGCCCCGCUUCCCGCCCUGGAGGCCGCUGGGCCUGUCACAAAUCCAGCGGGAGCGGCUCUGCCCCGCCCACCUGCUCCUGUGCGUGGCCAGAGACGGGCGCGGCCCAUGCCCUGCUGUCCCGGCAAUAAGGAACUAGCUCCGUGUGGUGCCGGCGGCAGGCCCCAGGGAGCGAUCACCGAGGAAAGGGGAAAUUACUCCAAAUAUCCAAACUCCUCAAGCACUCUCCACAGAAAAUUCUUACUGAAGCCAAUUUGUGCUCUCAGAUAAUCCCAGCUUCUUGUGAUCAGCCUAAACCUUAAAGAUAGAGCAUCCAUAAGAAGUUGGUGGACAUUCUGACAGUGUUUUCUGAGCUACCAAAGGUGCCUGUUAGAAAAGGGGGACAACACGGACAUGAAAAAAUUGAACUGGCUGACGCUGCUUGUGACUCUUGGUGUAGCCGCUGAUGCCCUGGACCAGUACUUCUGGAGCAGGGCCACAAGCACUGACGGGGGAUUCCAUCACCAGGGAUGACCAGCAAUGAGUCCAGCACUUUCACAUGAAGAAAGCUACAUUUCUGGAGCUGCUGAGCAGCUUGCCCCAAACCUUCAGUGUCAGGACAGACAAAUGAGGGCAGCCGUUCUGGUCCAGGAACAGAUUUCUAUAACCAUGUGGAAACUGUCUAUCCCAAACUGCUACACGUCUGUUGCUAACCAUUCAAUGUUGGAAAGUCAACCAUGGGUAAAGUGGUUGCAGAGGUUUUUGAGGCAAUCAGGCAUGUGAGUUAUCCAAAGGUAGUGGGCAUAAACAAGAUCCCUGAAGUAAUUGCUAGUUUUAAGAGAAUGGGAUUUCAGAAAUGCAUAGAGGCCAUAUAUGAAAAUUAUGUGGCCAUAGUUCACCCUCCCCAAAAAGCAGAAGCACGUAAAUCACAAUGGGUACCACUCUAUUAUUAUGCAGGCCCUUGUACAUGCCAACAUGGGCUGCACUGGAAAGGCUUGUGAUGCCAGGGUUUUCCACUGAUCAGGAAUCUACAUUAAUGUUACUGGCUGGGACACUUUUCCCCCUGGAUGGCAUUGUCAUAAAUUGAGUAACCAUCCCCAUUGUUAUCCUGGGGGACUCCACAUACCCCCUUUUGCCUUGGCUUAUGAAACUAUAUCCUGAUCUCAGACAGCCUGGUAAAAAAAGGUUUAAUUACAUCUCAGCAGGUUCAGAAUGGUGAUUGAAUGUGCAGUUGGCAGACUUUAAUCUGGCUGGCGCUAUUUACAGAAACAUUUGGAUUCCAGUGUCAUCAAAGCUGUUCGAAUUAUUGUGGCUUGCUGUGCUCUACACAAUCUUUGUGAAGCCAAAGAUGAGCCAUUUGCUCCUGAAUGAACCCGUGACAGUAAGGGAUUGCUGAAUCAAUACACUCAACUAUAAAGCGUAUCUAUCACAGCUGGGGCAGGACAGAGCCAUCACAUCCAUAGAAUGGACUGGGGCAACCGCCCCGGGCCCCGCACUUUGGGGGCCCUGCACUUUGGGACGCAGGGUCCAGGGCGGCCUGGGAGGUUAGCAGGGGGCCUGGCGCCGGCAGCAGUGAGCAACUUGGCCCCAGCCUGCCCCACUGGCUCCUGGCAUCGAUCAGGGAAGGAAACCGAAGAGAGGUGGGGCAGGGGGUUGGGUGAAGGGGUGGA